UACGGAGGGUGCAAGCGUUAAUCGGAAUUACUGGGCGUAAAGCGCACGUAGGUGGUUUGUUAAGCUAGCUGUGAAAUCCCCGGGCUCAACCUGGGCACUGCAGUUAGAACUGGCAAGCUAGAGUAGGGUAGAGGGGUGUGGAAUUCCAGGUGUAGCGGUGAAAUGCGUAGAUAUCUGGAGGAACAUCAGUGGCGAAGGCGACACCCUGGACUCAUACUGACACUGAGGUGCGAAAGCGUGGGGAGCAAAC
rnacentral:rRNA from 2 species